rnacentral:rRNA from 1 species
UACGUAGGGUGCGAGCGUUAAUCGGAAUUACUGGGCGUAAAGCGCACGCAGGCGGUCUGUCAAGUCGGAUGUGAAAUCCCCGGGCUCAACCUGGGAACUGCAUUCGAAACUGGCAGGCUAGAGUCUUGUAGAGGGGGGUAGAAUUCCAGGUGUAGCGGUGAAAUGCGUAGAGAUCUGGAGGAAUACCGGUGGCGAAGGCGGCCCCCUGGACAAAGACUGACGCUCAGGUGCGAAAGCGUGGGGAGCAAACAGG